AAAUGUUCCAUGAUAAUGGGUUAGGUAAAUGUUUCAUGAUAAUGGGUUAGGUAAAUGUUUCAUGAUAAGAAUUUCAUGUCUUUUGUAUUAAAGAAUUAAAUGGAUGAAAUAUGAAGUUUUAUUAAAAGAAAAAGGGGUGAAAAGAACAAAGUUUUGUCCAUCUUUGUUCAUCAUAGCUGAAAGUUAGAGAAGAGAAAGGAGAGGAGAAAGCUCUUGAGUAUUCAGUCAUUAGGAGGAGGAAAAUUGAAGGCAGUUCGUGUGUGGAUCUCGUCAGCAUAUCAUCGCAAACAGAUGUGUAACUAACACCC